rnacentral:rRNA from 1 species
UACGUAGGGUGCGAGCGUUGUCCGGAUUUAUUGGGCGUAAAGAGCUCGUAGGCGGUUUGUCGCGUCGGCCGUGAAAUCUCCACGCUUAACCCCGGGCGUGCAGUGGAUACGGGCCGGCGUGAGGCAGGCAGGGGAGAAUGGAAUUCCCGGUGUAGCGGUGAAAUGCGCAGAUAUCGGGAGGAACACCGGUGGCGAAGGCGGUUCUCUGGGCCUGUACUGACGCUGAGGAGCGAAAGCGUGGGGAGCGAACAGGAUAGAA